rnacentral:rRNA from 1 species
GACGAACGCUGGCGGCGUGCUUAACACAUGCAAGUCGAACGGAAAGGCCCUGCUUUUGUGGUGUGCUCGAGUGGCGAAAGGGUGAGUAACACGUGAGUAACCUGCCCUUGACUUUGGGAUAACUUCAGGAAACUGGGGCUAAUACCGGAUAGGAUCUCCUGCUGCAUGGUGGGGGUUGGAACGUUUCGGCGGUUGGGGAUGGACUCGCGGCUUAUCAGCUUGUUGGUUGGGUAGUGGCUUACCAAGGCAUUGACGGGUAGCCGGCAUGAGAGGGUGACCGGCGACAUUGGGACUGAGAGACGGCCCAGACUCCUACGGGAGGCAGCAGUGGGGAAUAUUGCACAAUGGGCGGAAGCCUGAUGCAGAAACGCCGCGUGCGGGAUGACGGCCUUCGGGUUGUAAACCGCUUUCGCCUGUGACGAAGCGUGAGUGACGGUAAUGGGUAAAGAAGCACCGGCUAACUACGUG